rnacentral:rRNA from 1 species
CCUACGGGUGGCAGCAGUCGAGAAUCAUUCACAAUGGGGGAAACCCUGAUGGUGCGACGCCGCGUGGGGGAAUGAAGGUCUUCGGAUUGUAAACCCCUGUCAUGUGGGAGCAAAUUAAAAAGAUAGUACCACAAGAGGAAGAGACGGCUAACUCUGUGCCAGCAGCCGCGGUAAUACAGAGGUCUCAAGCGUUGUUCGGAAUCACUGGGCGUAAAGCGUGCGUAGGCUGUUUCGUAAGUCGUGUGUGAAAGGUGCGGGCUCAACCCGCGGACGGCACAUGAUACUGCGAGACUAGAGUAAUGGAGGGGGAACCGGAAGUCGCGGUGUAGCAGUGAAAUGCGUAGAUAUCGAGAGGAACACUCGUGGCGAAGGCGGGUUCCUGGACAUUAACGGACGCUGAGGCACGAAGGCCAGGGGAGCGAAAGGGAGUAGAUACCCUGGUAGUC